UGUUGAUAGAGUAAGGUUGCAGGAAGGUAGUACAGGGGCUACAGAAGGAGUAAGCAGGACUAUCUGAAUGUAGUGAUUUCAAGAAAGGGUGAUCUCUAUACUUCCCAGGCCCUGCAGGAAAAGGGGCCCCACAAUGGAACCCCAGACUGGCAGUGGGCUGAGUGGGGCCAGCGGCCAGGUCCUGGGCUUGCAGGGGGCCUGGCGGUUGGAACCCCAGACCAGCAGCGAGACAUACCUUCCAUACCUUCAGGCCAGAGGAAGCUGGAUUGGGGGAGAGCAGUUCAGGCCCCUACUGAAGGCACCUGGUACGCUACAAGGAGCUGGAAAAGUCACAAGGAGGUUCUAUGCUGCCUCUCUUAGAUUAGACCCUGCUACAGGACUGCCCAUAUCUAGCAAAGGGACGGGAAGCAAAAUGCAGCUGAAGCCAGAAAGUACUAGAAAUCUUAUGAGACUCCUGAACAGUGAAAAUGUGGUACUGCUUCUAAUAUAAGCAGACCAUCUGCAGAGGAGAAAUGUAGUCCAAGAACUUCUAUCCAUGCUCUACUCCUCUCCAGAGCUGCCCAGCUCAGAUUUCACUGAAGGAUUUAUAGCGCAAACCAGCUCUGAAGUUGGAAUUGAUGCUGUCUUCAUUCAAGAGUUUGAGGGAGGAAGAGUACGAUUUUCUCUAUUUGCCAAAAAUUGUUUGGGAGAAUGAAAGCAGCCUCUCAUUCAAAAUAAAUGUUUGGAAACAAAAUGAGCUCUACAUCCUAAUGUAGUCUUUCUGAAAUUUUCUAAAAUUGAAAGAUUAAUAUUCUAUGAGAGAACUAUUAAUGCUUGCAUAAAAAUAUCAAUGUUUGUUUGUGGGCUAUGAUAGAAUAAAGAUGUUGACAAUACUUUCAUUAUCCCCUCGUGCCAGCAGUCAUUUAUGGAUCCUCCCCCUAUCAAC